rnacentral:rRNA from 1 species
GAUGAACGCUAGCUACAGGCUUAACACAUGCAAGUCGAGGGCAGCGCAGUGUAGCAAUACAUGGGCGGCGACCGGCGCACGGGUGCGUAACGCGUAUCCAACCUUCCCGAUACUCAGGGAUAGCCUUCCGAAAGGGAGAUUAAUACCUGAUGGUGUUUCAAUUCCGCAUGUUAAUGAAACUAAAGAUUUAUCGGUAACGGAUGGGGAUGCGUGACAUUAGAUAGUAGGCGGGGUAACGGCCCACCUAGUCUACGAUGUCUAGGGGUUCUGAGAGGAAGGUCCCCCACACUGGAACUGAGACACGGUCCAGACUCCUACGGGAGGCAGCAGUGAGAAAUAUUGGUCAAUGGUCUAACGACUGAACCAGCCAUGCCGCGUGAAGGUCACGGCCCUAUGGGUCUUAAACUUCUUUUGUAAGGGAGCAAUAAGCUUUACGUGUAGAGUGAUGAGAGUACCUUACGAAUAAGCAUCGGCUAACUCCGUG